rnacentral:rRNA from 1 species
CGGACGGGUGAGUACUGUCUGGGAAACUGCCUGAUGGAGGGGGAUAACUACUGGAAACGGUAGCUAAUACCGCAUAACGUCGCAAGACCAAAGAGGGGGACCUUCGGGCCUCUUGCCAUCGGAUGUGCCCAGAUGGGAUUAGCUAGUAGGUGGGGUAACGGCUCACCUAGGCGACGAUCCCUAGCUGGUCUGAGAGGAUGACCAGCCACACUGGAACUGAGACACGGUCCAG